AAUGAAAACGGUAUUCGGUGAAACUGCCUCGUGGUACACAGGGACAUCCUUACCCGCAUGAUCUGCUCUGAUUUAGGGGAGAAGAGACAUGGUUUGUUGUGCAGGAUGGAGAGUGGUCACUGUGUGCCAGCUGGGUGGCCUUGCUUUGUUUCCAUCUGAGAGGAUAUUUCCUGUAUUGCACACCGUCAUGAAGAAAAAUUAGGAUCCAUC